AAAUAUACUUUCUAUUAGAAAUUUAGUGAUCACACAGGUGGUUUUCGCAGGGCAGGGCUCAUCCAUUGCAUUCGGGAUGUGUUGUCCCGUGUGAUUUCCAGAAAUGUGGGGAACUUGACUGCAUGUUUUGUGGUAGGGAGGGACUGGAAUUCAUGCUCCGCCCCCCC